GGCAGCAGUGGGGAAUAUUGCACAAUGGGCGCAAGCCUGAUGCAGCCAUGCCGCGUGUGUGAAGAAGGCCUUCGGGUUGUAAAGCACUUUCAGCGGGGAGGAAGGCGGURAGGUUAAUAACCUYRUCGAUUGACGUUACCCGCAGAAGAAGCACCGGCUAACUCCGUGCCAGCAGCCGCGGUAAUACGGAGGGUGCAAGCGUUAAUCGGAAUUACUGGGCGUAAAGCGCACGCAGGCGGUCUGUCAAGUCGGAUGUGAAAUCCCCGGGCUCAACCUGGGAACUGCAUUCGAAACUGGCAGGCUAGAGUCUUGUAGAGGGGGGUAGAAUUCCAGGUGUAGCGGUGAAAUGCGUAGAGAUCUGGAGGAAUACCGGUGGCGAAGGCGGCCCCCUGGACAAAGACUGACG
rnacentral:rRNA from 1 species